UCCAUCAUCAUGCUACUCUUUGUACUUUCUCUCCUAGUGACACUUUCAAGGAAGAUCUCAACACAGAAAAUUAAUCCACUUGACCCAGUAAAGCAUGUGUCAGUGGGUGAUCCUGUUAAUCUCUCCUGCAGUUACAGUACGAGUACUAAUGAUGCUCUUCAGUGGUAUCGCCAGUAUCCAACAUCAAGACCAGACUUUAUAGUUUUCAUCUACGAACAUGAAACUAAAAAAGAGUCUGAUCUUCCUGGUGUUUCUGUAAGGGUUGAUAAAGACCAAAGCCGUGUGGAUCUGCUGAUCUCCUCUGCUGCAGUAUCAGACUCUGCACUUUAUUACUGUGCCCUGGAAAAACCAGACUCCAUUGCCAAGCCUCUUUACUCUGCUCUCCUCACCCUCUACCCCAGCCAACCAGCUCACUCUCAGCUGGCUGGUCCCUUUAGGCAGAGGACUGGAAUAGCACUUGAUACCUCCUUCCUCCAGGUGGCAUCUGCUCUCAUUCUCUUUGAUGCCAUACUCGAUUUCAAAUAG